rnacentral:lncRNA from 1 species
UACCUAUAUAUAUAUCUGUAUGUGAUUAUGUGCGCACAAGUACAGUGCCUUUAGAAACCAGAAGAGGGCGCUAGAUCCCUGGAACUGGAAUUACUGACAGUUGUGAGCUAAUAUGUGGUGCUGGGAACUGAACCUGUAUCCUCUGGAAGAGCAGCCAGUGCUGCUGACCAAUCUCUUCAGCUGCUUAUUUUUUAAUUAGCAUACAAAACAAGUUUUUUGAGAUAUCUUUUUUCUUUUCUUUCAUGAUAAGAUAUUUUCUUUAUUUACAUUUCAAAUACUAUCCCAAAAGUUCCCUGUACCCUCCCCCCCGCCCUGCUCCCCUACCCACCCACUCCCACUUCUUGGCCCUGGCGUUCCCCUGUACUGGGGCAUAUAAAGUUUGCAAGACCAAGGGGCCUCUCUUCCCAACGAUGGCUGACUAGGCCAUCUUCUGCUACAUAUGCAGCUAGAGACACGAGCUCUGGGGGUACUGGUUAGUUCAUAUUGUUGUUCCACCUAUAGGGUUGCAGACUCCCUCAGUUCCUUGGGUACUUUCUCUAGCUCCUCCAUUGGUUGAGAUAUCUUUAUACAAAGCUUUGCUCUCCCCUCCUCCUCUCUUCCCUCCUUCCCUUUUCCCCUCCUCCCCUCCUCCCACCCUGCCUCCUCCCUUUCUGUCCUCCUCCCCGCUCCCUCCUUCCCAUGCUUUCACUUGGACCCUUCUGUCCCUGGUAGUCCCCCUCCGUUCCUUUAAACUCUUUCUCCUCUUAUGUCCCCUUUCUAGUUUCAUACCCUACGCCCACACUUACAUAGCUAACACCUAAACGCAUAACUACACACACAUAUAUAUCAGCUCAUGAGAGAGAAUGUGAGGUAUUCAUCUUUCUGAGCCAGGCAGGCUACCUCAAUAUACUAGUCUCCAUUUUCAUCCAUUUUCCUGAGAAUUUCAUUUUUAUUUGAGGCUUAAUAAGAUUCCCGUGCAUAUUAGUAUACCCUGAACUUUGAUGUCCACUCACCAGCCGAUGGACACCUAGGCUGAAUUUCAUCUCUUUGCUUAUGAACAGAUCGGCUGUUGACAUGGGCAGCCAAGGAUCUCCGCCUAUGACAGAGAGUCCAGGAAUGGUAGACCUGGGGCUCGUGGCUGUUAUUAGUUUUAUGAGAAACCCUUGCACAGGUUUGCAUAGUGGCUACACCAGUUCCUAUUCCCACCAGCAGUGAAUAAGGACCUCUCUUGCUCACAUCCUUGCCUACAGACAUCUGUUGUCAUUUGUGUUUUUAGUGAUAGCCAAUGGCUAGGGUGGGAAGGACUCUGGAAGCCAUUUUAAUUUACAUUUCUCUGAUGGCUAAAGAUGUUGAGCACAUUAAAAACCAAAGCAAAGCAAAGCAAAGCAUUGGUCUUUUGUGUUUCCGCUUCUGAGAACUGUUGGCUUAGUGGCCAUGUAUUACUUGGCAGGGCUUUUUUUGGCUUGUUUACUUUUAUUCAAUUCUUUAUAUAGUGUAGAUAGUAACCUUUGUCUGAAGUACAGGGAUUGCUGUACUAUGACCACAGAAGGUCUUUUCAUUAUCAAUUGUCUUCUUCAACUUACUUUUCAAUGUCUUAAAGUUUUCACUCUAGAGGCUUAUUCCUAGGCAUAUUGUACAUUUAUUUAUUUAUUUAUUUAUUCAUUCAUUCAUUCAUUCAUUUGUUCAUUUAUUUAUUUAUCCUGAAGCUAUUGAGAAUGGAAUAUUUCUCCUAAUACCUUUCUCAGUGAGUUAAUUUUUUUUGGUAUAUGUAAAAAAGCUACUGGCUUUUAUAUGUUGAUAUUUCUAUCUUGCAACUUUACUAAAAAUGUUUAUCAGAUCUAAAAGUUUUCUGGUGGAGUCUGUAAGAUUUGUUUGUUUGUUUGUUUGUUUGUUUGCUUUAAGACAAGUUUUCUCUGUGUAGCCCUGGCUGUCCUGGAACUCACUCUGUAGACCAGGCUGGCCUCAAACUCCAAGCGCUAGGCCUAAAGUUGAGCCCCAACCAGCAGGUGGAUUUUAAGUGUAGGAUCAUGUUAUUUGAGAGCGGGAACCAUCGGGCUUCUUUGUUGUCUACUUUUAUUCUGUUUGUAUCUUCCUCUUGUCUGAGUGCUCUAGCUAAGACUUGGGGCACUACACUGAACAUGAGGGGGAAAAUAGCCACCUGUGGGCACCCUUGUGUCACCCCAGAGUUUAAAGGAGAUGCUCAGUUCUCUCCUGUGUAAUCUUGGCUACAGAUUUGUUACAUAUUAUCUUUAUUAUGUUGACAUAUAUUCCGUUUGUUCCUAGUUUCAGACUUUUCAUCAUGAAGGCAUAUUGAACUCUGUCAAGUGUCUUUCUGUAUCCAUUAAGCCAAUCAUGCCUAUUUUGCCCUAUGUCUGUUUAUGUGAUAUGUUCUAUUUAUGGUUUUGUAUUUGUUGAACCAGACUUGCAUCCCUGUGAUGAAACCAAUUGGUCACGAUGUAUGAUCCCUUCACU